rnacentral:rRNA from 1 species
AGAGCGAACGCUGGCGGCAUGCUUAACACAUGCAAGUCGCACGGGCACUUCGGUGUCAGUGGCGGACGGGUGAGUAACGCGUAGGUAUCUAUCCUUGGGUGGGGGACAACUGUGGGAAACUACAGCUAAUACCGCAUGAUAACUGAGGUUUAAAGGCGCAAGUCGCCUGGGGAGGAGCCUGCGUACGAUUAGCUUGUUGGUGGGGUAAAGGCCUACCAAGGCGACGAUCGUUAGCUGGUCUGAGAGGAUGAUCAGCCACAUUGGGACUGAGACACGGCCCAAACUCCUACGGGAGGCAGCAGUGGGAAUAUUGGACAAUGGGCGAAAGCCUGAUCCAGCAAUGCCGCGUGUGUGAAGAAGGUCUUCGGAUUGUAAAGCACUUUCGACGGGGACGAUGAUGACGGUACCCGUAGAAGAGCCCGGCUAACUCGCGCCAGCAGCCGC